rnacentral:misc_RNA from 1 species
UGGCUCUCGCAUCGAUGAAGAACGCAGCGAAAUGCGAUAAGUAAUGUGAAUUGCAGAAUUCAGUGAAUCAUCGAAUCUUUGAACGCACCUUGCGCCUUUUGGUAUUCCGAAAGGCAUGCCUGUUUGAGUGUCAUGAACUCUCAACCCCCCGGGUUUAUGAUCUGGGAAGGUUGGAUUUGAGCCCUGCCGUCCGCGGCUGGCUUUAAAUGUGUCAGUGGGUUGAACCGCCUACGCCGGACGUGAUAAGUUUCGUCCUGGUAAGGUGUGGGAUCCCGCUAAUAACCACCAUCUUUUUGACUCUUGACCUCAAAUCAGGUAGGACUACCCGCUGA